ACACAGAUUCUUUCUCCACCACAUGGCUGCUGCUGGGGGAUGGGGCAGGCGUGGUGUGGGCAAUUCAAGACUAUCUUUUCUAUCCUCUUCGGCACCUCUUUCAGUGAUAUGAAGUUAAAACCAGGGAGAAUGAUUGGUGAAGGCUUCUAUUUGGUCAACUUGCUCUGUCUUUAUAGCCAAUUUAUAUUGAUAAGAGUUUCUCUCUAGAUACCAUUUGCGGUAUUCCUGAGUCAGAAGAGAGGAAAGGUGAUACUGCCACCCCCUGGAGUCGUCUCUCAAGAGGACUUGAUCUCUGGCCUGUGAACUGCCCCACAUGUUUCUUCUGCACAUCCUGACUCCCAGGCCUGCACAGGGGACUUCUGCACAGGCCUGACUCCCAGGCCUGACAUUUUCUGGUCUGUCUUCGCCAUGGUCUGCUAUCAACUGCAGUUUUGAAUUCUGGUUUCUCUUAUUCUUUGUCUCUAGGCAAGUCAACAGGUUCAGCAGCCAGAGUCCUAUCCUGUACUUCUCUUCACGUUGCAGACAUCCACGAAAGAGUGAGACUGUUUUCGGUUGGAUUGAAGAGCAAAUGUGUGGAAGGCACCAAGGGUCUCACUCUGUCACCUAGGCUGCAGUGCAGUGGUACAAUCACAGUUCACUGCAGCCUUGACCUCUUGGGCUCAAGCAAUCUUCCUGCCUUAGCCUCCUGAGUAGCUGGGACUACAGACGGAGUUUCACUCUUGUUGCCCAGGCUGGAGUGCAAUGAUGCGAUUUCGGCUCACCGCAACCUCCACCUCCCGGGUUCAAGUAGUUCUUCUGCCUCAGCCUCCCAAGUAGCUGGUAUUACAGGAGACAAAAGCACGUGACUCUGAAUGGGGUGGAAGAAGCUGAUGAAGUUUGCCAGGCUCUUCCCUCCAAUCCCCAAACUAGACCUUGGACCAUCUCUCCACUGGACCACCAGCUACAAUGUCAACAGCUCCACAACUUGCAAGUCUUGCCAAAGUGUUUUAAAGGAUGAUUUAUUAAAGGAAAAUCUAAAUUAGCAAUUGGAUAUAUUCCACUAUAGGAACUUAAGACCACUCAUUAAUUCUACAACGACUUUCUGAGCACCUACCAGUGGGCCAGGCUGGGGAAACAAAGGCCCAGAGGAGAGGAGGGAAAAAUGAUUGCAUGGGCCAGGCCCAGGGCCCUGCUGCUCUGUGUAGUCUUGGGACAUGGUGACCGGCAUUCCAGCUUCUCCAGCUCCAGCCAUGCCUAAAAGGGGCCAAGGUACAGCUCAGGCUGUGGCUUCAGAGUGCAAGCCCCAAGCCUUGGCAGCUUCCGUGUGGUGUUGGGCCUGCAGGUGCACAGAAGACAAGGGUUGAGCUUUGGGAACCUCUGCCUAGAUUUCAGAGGAUGUGUGGAAACACCUGGAUGUCCAGAUAGAAGUUUGCUGCAGAGGCAGAGCCCUCAUGGAGAACUUAUACUAGGGCAAUGUAGAGGGGAAAUGUGGGGUUGGAGCCCCCAUACAGAGUUCUCACUGGGGCACUGCCUAGUGGAGCUAUAACAAGAGGGCCACCAUCCUCCAGACCCCAGAAAGGUAGAUCCACUGACAGCUUGCUCCGUGCUCCUGGAAAAGCCACAGGCACUCAACACCAGCCCGUGAAAGCAGCUGUGGGGGUUGUAUCCUGCAGAGCCACAGGGGUGGAGCUACCCAAGGUUCUGGGAGCCCACUUCUUGUAUCAGCAUGCCCUGGAUGUGAGACGUGGAGUCAAAGGAAAUUAUUUUGAAGCUUCAAGAUUGAAUGAAUGCCCUGCUGAGUUUUGGACAUGCAUGGGGCCUAUGGCUCCUUUGUUUUGGCAUUUGGAACAGGAAUGACUGUACCCCCAUUGCAUCUUGGAAGUAACUAACUUGCUUUUGAUUUUACAGGCUCCUGUGUGGAAGAGACUUGCCUUGUCUCAGAUGAGACUUUGGACUUGGACUUUUGGGUUAAUGCUGGAAUGAGUUAAGACUUUGGGAAACUGUUGGGAAGGCAUGAUUGGUUUUGAAAUUGAAAAGGACAUGAGAUUUUGGAGGGGCCAGUGGUGGAAUAAUAUGGAUUUCCUCUGUGUCCCCACCCAAAUCUCAUCUUAAAUUGUAAUUCCUCUGUGUUGAGGGAGGUGAUUGAAUCAAAGAGCAGUUUCCCCAUGCUAUUUUCAUGAUAGUGAAUGAAUUCUCACUAGAUCUGAUGGUUUAAAAGUGUUUGGCAGUCCCCUACACCUGUUCCCUGCUACCUUGUGAAGAAGGUGCUUGCUUCCCCUUCACCUUCUGCUAUGAUUGUAAGUUUCCUGAGGCCUCCCCAGCCAGGUGGAACUGUGAGUCAAUUAAACUUCUUUCCUUUAUAAAUAACCCAGUCUUAGGCAGUUGUUUAUAGCAGUGUGAAAAUGGACUAAUACAAAGUCCUAGCAAAGAUAAUACAGGUAAAUUUUUUAUGUUACAGUCUUUUUUUUUUUUUUUUUUGAAAUAGGAUCUCACUCUUUUGCCCAGGCUGAGUGCAGUGGCACAAUCAUGUCUCACUACAGCCUCAACCUACCAGGCUCAAGUGAUCCUGCCACCUCAGCCUCCUGAAUAGCUGGGACAACUGGCACAUGACACCAUGCCUGGCUAAUUUAAAACAUUUUUUUUUAGAGAUGGGAGGGUCUCACUGUGUUGCCCAGACUGGUCUUGAACUUCUGGGCAUAAGUGAUCCUCCUGCCUCAUCCUCUCAAAGUGUUGGGAUUACAGGCAUGAGCCACCACACCAGCCUCUAUGUUACAGUCUUAGCUCUUAAGGCCUUCAACUGAUUGGAUGUGGCCCAUGCACAAUAUGGAGUGUAAUCUACUAUACAGAUUUAAUUGUUAAUCACAUCUGAAAAAUAUUUUAUUGUGCCAUCUAGGCUUUUGUUCAACCAAGCAACUGGACACAAUAGGGUAGCCAGGUUGGUACAUAAAACUAAACAUCACAAUUGGGUUCAAUAAAGUAUAGCUUUAAAAUUAUUUUCACCUGUUCCAUUUAAUUUUUUAAAAUGUGGCUACUAGAACAUUCAAAAUUAUGUAUGUGGCUCACAUCACUCACAUUUUAUUUCUAUUGGACAGUGAUGCUCUAGACAUUUAUGAAAACAAAUGUAUUCCAAGUGAGUAUGGAGGAAUUACAGUAAAAUAUGCUUGAGGCAAUUGGUGAAGGCUUUGCAGAGAUGGUAAGAUGAUGAAAGCACAAAUCCUUGCAUCAGAAUGCCUAGGUUUGAAUCUCUGCUCUGCCACUUCACUGUGAUGCAGGGCAAGAAACUUAACCUCUCUGUGCCUCAUUUUCUUCAUCUGUAAAAUGGGGUAGUAAUUAGAUCUUCUGCAUGGGAUUGUGGUAAAGGUUAAAUGAUUUCAUACACUUAAGCAUUUAGAAUAGUAUCUGAGACAGUAAAUCUCUAUAAAUGUUAAAGAAGGUCAUGCCUGACCAAAAACUGGACAGAUGAGGGGCUGGGCAGUUCCCCGAGGGAUUAUUGAAAAGGGAUGAAUUUCACAGGGAGGGAACAUGUAACUCUCUUCUUUGGGCUUCCCUUUCUGUCUUACCACAGGAAGAUCAGCAGUAGAGUCUCAGUAUGUUCUGUGGCUAAGCGUUCAACCACUUGGCAUUGAGUUUUGCGUCAGUUGGUGAAUGACCAACAUGUGUCUGGCAAAGUGCUUGGCAUCCCUUUUACUCAUUUUACCUGAUCUCAGCAGCACCCAUCCCUGCAGGACACAGCCUCAUUUUUUAAUAUAUUGCUUUUAUUUCUUAAAAUGUGUGUAAAUGGAGCCAGAGAGGAGAGAGGAAGGAGUGAAAACACUGAAAAUGGGAAAAUGAAAGACUAAAAGAUAUUUGCAAGACAUUUGUCGGUCACACAGCAAUUCAAUUUUUUAAACAAACUUGACAUUGAGAUUUAUACAGUUCAUUUACUCAAAGAAGACUUCAAAUUUUGCAUUCCACUCCUUUGGGGACUAGUUGAGACAUUAAAAUCCAAAUAUUACAAAAUAAAAUGAACUGAAGCAUGAAAUUAAUAUUUAGCAUACAGAUUUACAUAAUUUUACUAUUUAAUAAUAGUAUUUGAUUUUUAAAGCCUACUGCUGACCAAAAACAAUGCAAAUUAUUUAUUGUGGGCCACCUACUUACUUCUCAAAAAAUCCUGAGAGGUACUUAAAUGUUUACCCAUAUUUUUACAGUAGGACCUGCAGCUUAACAAAAUUAAGUAAAUGUUCAAGUUUAUACAAACAGUACGUAGCUAAGUCAGGAAUUUCAACUGAAUACAUUGAGCUCCCAUAUUAUAACACUCCAGUUUACAAAACAUAGUCUGUGCAACUAUCAAUUUCAAAAUGCAUGUAUUAAUUCAUCGAAUGUUUACUCAGCCCCUUCGUCUAAAGGCACCAUCCUAGGCAGCAUGUCCAUUUGAUAGUGUUUCCUUCUAAAACUGAGAGUUUUGAAAGUUAAUUGCUUUAGAACUAAAAUGCAAUUUGAAUUAUCACUGAAUCCUCAGAUGACUUUUAGUUGCUGUUAUUUUAAUUCAAAGUGAAUUAAUCCAAAUGAAAAAUGUCCCAGACAUUCUACAUAAUUUUUGCUCUUAAUAUUCUAUUUUUUUGGAUCAGAAAGGAUAAUUUAACCUUAGUAGGUUGUAUGUGUAACAAAAUUUAUUCAUUUCUUCUAUGUUUUCAGUUUUGUUUACAUAUAGCCACUCAUGAUACCUUCUUAUGAUCGUUUGUAUUUCUUUAGUGUUGGUCAAAAUGUCUUCUUUUUCACCUCUGAUUUUAUUUAUUUGAGUCUUUUCAAUUUUAUCUUAGUUAUUCUAUAUAAAUGUUAGUCAAUUUUGUUCAUCUUUUCAAAAAAUAACUAUUUUGUUGAUCUUAUAAAUUAUUUAAAAAUCUUUAUUUCAUUUAUUUCUGUUCUGAGCUUUAUUACUUCACUCUUUCUACUAAUUUUGGUUUUAAUUUGUUCAUAUUUUUAUAAAAGUGAGUUACCUUUAGUUGAAAUUUCCAGUGAAAACUUAGCAAUUGAUCAAUACCAAAUUGACUUUUGUUUUUAUUUCUGCCUGUAGAUGGAAGUCUAUCAAAGAUUAAAAAAUAUUUAUCCAAAGUUCAAA
rnacentral:lncRNA from 1 species